AUCAGGGGAGUCUGGGGUUGGACUACUGAAGGAUAUAGAGGGCUCACACUCUGGGUACACACAGGUUGUGUUUGUGUGUGUGUGUGUGUGUGUGUGUGUGUGUGUGUGUGUGUGUGUGUGUGUGUGUGUGU